rnacentral:tRNA from 4 species
GCCGAUGUAGCUCAGUUGGUCAGAGCAGCUGAUUUGUAAUCAGCAGGUCGUGGGUUCGAAUCCCUCUAUCGGCU